CGAAGGAGAGAAGAAA
rnacentral:sRNA from 1 species